GUUGAAAAGGAAAAGAAAUCGAAACAUAUGUACAUUUAAAUGUAAAUAAAUGUAAACGUGUGAAAUGAGGUAGAAGUGUGUGUGUGUGUCGGAAACGAUGUGCAUGCAAACUGAAUUGAUAAAAAACAUGAUAUGCGCG
ensembl:ncRNA F54H5.8 ncRNA